GGGGUUGUAGCUCAGUGGUAGAGCGCUUGCCUCACAUGCAUGAGACCCCAGGUUCGAUCCUUAGCACCA
rnacentral:tRNA from 1 species